rnacentral:rRNA from 1 species
AUGGGCGAGGCCCGUCGCGAACAAGGGGAAGCACGCCGCCGACGAGAAGUUCCUGUUGCUGAAGAAGCACUUCGGCAAGGGACUUGGAGGUGGCCUUGGGAAGGGUGGUGGGCUCGGUGGAGGUGGCGGUGGCGGCUACGGUGGUGGAGGAGGGCUCGGUGGCGGUGGCGGCUACGGUGGUGGUGGAGGACUAGGUGGUGGGGCUGGCCAUGGUGUCGGUGGAGGUCUUGGUGGUGGGUUUGGCAAAGGAGGAGGGCUUGGCGGCGGGUUUGGUAA